rnacentral:SRP_RNA from 1 species
CCAGAGAUCUGGGCUCUAGUGCACUAUGCCAAUUGGGUGUCCACACUAAGUUCAGCACAAAUAUGGUGACCUCCAGGUUGCCUAAGGAGGGGUGAACUGGGCCAAGUCAGAAAAAACAAGUCAAAACUCCUGUGCUGAUCAGUAGUGGAAUCGCACCUGUGAAGAGCCACUAUGCUCCAGUCUGG